AUAUGCAUAUUUAUGUAUGUAUUAGGGUAAAUAACUAUUUAUGUGUUCGCUAAUGCCAUUUAUGAUGUAUAUCUGUAUAUACUAGCAGUAUACUUAGGUAAUAUUUUGUUUAUUUAGGUUCACUAAGAAUCAGAUGUUUUAGUACCUGUUGGACUAUUCUGCCUGCGUCCCUGAGACGAGGGCGUUUUGUUAUAAUUCUGCCAACUGGGGAUCUCCUUAUCCAACGUAACCAGCGCCGAAUAAAUCCCUGAAACCACA